AGUGAACGCUGGCGGUAGGCCUAACACAUGCAAGUCGAACGGCAGCACAGUAAGAGCUUGCUCUUACGGGUGGCGAGUGGCGGACGGGUGAGGAAUACAUCGGAAUCUACCUUUUCGUGGGGGAUAACGUAGGGAAACUUACGCUAAUACCGCAUACGACCUACGGGUGAAAGCAGGGGAUCUUCGGACCUUACGCGAUUGAAUGAGCCGAUGUCGGAUUAGCUAGUUGGCGGGGUAAAGGCCCACCAAGGCGACGAUCCGUAGCUGGUCUGAGAGGAUGAUCAGCCACACUGGAACUGAGACACGGUCCAGACUCCUACGGGAGGCAGCAGUGGGGAAUAUUGGACAAUGGGCGCAAGCCUGAUCCAGCCAUACCGCGUGGGUGAAGAAGGCCUUCGGGUUGUAAAGCCCUUUUGUUGGGAAAGAAAAGCAGCAGGUUAAUACCCCGCUGUUCUGACGGUACCCAAAGAAUAAGCACCGGCUAACUUCGUG
rnacentral:rRNA from 1 species